AUUGAACGCUGGCGGCGUGCCUAAUACAUGCAAGUCGAACGGAGUGGCGCACGGGUGAGUAAUAUAUAGCUAAUCUGCCCCUUGCUGGAGGACAACAGUUAGAAAUGACUGCUAAUACUCCAUAGCAAGGGAUGAGACUAUAUCGUAUCAGCUAGUCGGUGGGGUAACGGCCUACCGAGGCUAUGACGCGUAACUGGUCUGAGAGGAUGAUCAGUAACAUGGGAACGGUGACACUGUCCAAACUAAUUCGGCAGGGAGCUAAAGGGAAUAUUGCGCAACGGGGGAAUCCCUGACGCAGCUGCGCCGCGUGGAGGAUGACACUUUUAGGAGCCGAAACUCCUUCUGUUAGGGAAGCGGUACCUAACUAAUAAGCACCGGCUAACUCCGUGCCAGCAGCCGCGGUAAUUC
rnacentral:rRNA from 1 species